rnacentral:misc_RNA from 1 species
UCCCGCGAUAGGAUUCUGUUUGACGACGAGACCGUCAUCCACGCCAUUAAACAGGACAGCCGCUCCGUUUGAAGUAUUGAUGAUUUGCGGCUGGCCAAUCCGCUCGGUUAUUUGUCCGCCGACUCUGUCCAACCUGUCUAACCUCCAGGUAAUGCUCUUCGCGGCAGGUGCAAUCGUAUUGAGCGGAACGGGAUCUUUCCUAAGAUGUUUGGCCAGGCUGAGUUUUAGUUCGCGGAUCGCCUGGACCGCCAGACCAGCCAUGAUCCCGGCUCCCACCGGCGAGAAAUGCGUGUUGUCUUCGAUACCCUUCGGAUAGUUCGGAUUCGCGUUGGGGCCGAGUUGCAGAAACAGAUCCCUUGAUCUUUCGACUCCAUAUUGCCUGAUUACCAUUUCACUCCGG